GGCAAUGUGGCCGAGUGGUCUAAGGCGCUGGAAUUAGGUUAUCCUGUAUCCAGUCCGAAAGGGCGUGGGUUCGAACCCCACCGUUGUCA